AUGGACGGCUCUUCAGCAACGGCCUCUGCCUGUGCGUCCUGGGAGGGACAGUCCUGGAAAAGGAAAGAGGCAGCUACAACCCUGCGGCUCGGCUGGGUGGCAGGGAUGCUUCCGGCCCAUGAAGCCUGCUCACUUGAGAAUGCCCACGAGGGAUCAGCGACAGCCCCUGUCACAUGCAGCCGCCGAGUUCUCUGGAAAACCAUGGAGGAGGCGGAUCGCUCCAAAACCAGGGCUGGUCCAUGCUGCUGCCCAGCAGAACGUAUCACCGAACAGCAGCUAAAACGUCUGGCAGACCCGACACCAUGGGUAGAAGGAAGAAAAGUAGAGGCCCCAUUCGGAGCGUACCUCCUCCAAGAAUUCGGGAGAUUUCUCAUUUGUCUCCCUGUCAAGGACCGUUUCGCAAUUCAGAGUAGCUGUUUUUCUUUUAUGAGCUGUCUUCAGUGUUUACCAAACGGCUGUGCAUGUUUUGGUCUAUUCCUGUAGUUUGAUUCUGUUCUUUUAGUAAUCUGUGCUUUCAAGUAUCACUACCAGACUGGUUUUUCCCCCCAAAUGUUUAUUCAUUUUUGAGAGAGAGAGCGAGUAGGGGGGAGGGGCAGAGAAGGGGAGAGAGGAUCUGAAGUAGGCUCUGUGCUGACAGCAGAGAGCCCCAUGCGGGGCUUGAACUCACAAACUGCGAGUUCAUGACCUGAGCUGAAGUCUAUGCUCUACCGACUGAGCCCCCCAGGUACUCCCCUACCAUCCUGUUUUAAUUAUUGAGGGUUUGUAAUGCAUUUUAAGAUCUGGUCAAACGCUCUUACUGUGCUGCCUUUUUUUCAGAAUGGGAGAAAAAAGUUUAAUCCAAGUCACAAGUUUCUCUAAUCUAGAUUUCCUCUUUCAUGUCCAUGGUUUGCAAAGUCCUUCCCUCCUUGCCCCUGGUCCCUAUUCUCAUUUCUUCAUCUUCGGCAAAACUUUCUUUCAAAUUAAAUCUCGUAAGUAGAUGAAGUGGUGGAGUGGGGGUGGGGCCCUGCAAGCACUGCCACAGAAACAUAUAUUUUGAAGAAGGGUCUAAAAAUCACUGAUUUCUGUACUUACACUGCAUGAUCGUCUGCCAAAAAUGGCAAGCAGUUCUACUGAACAACUGUAAUUAGUAUCGUUUUUGUAUUGAC
rnacentral:lncRNA from 1 species